GAUGAACGCUGGCGGCGUGCCUAAUACAUGCAAGUCGAGCGAACAGACGAGGAGCUUGCUCCUCUGACGUUAGCGGCGGACGGGUGAGUAACACGUGGAUAACCUACCUAUAAGACUGGAAUAACUUCUGGAAACCGGAGCUAAUACCGGAUAAUAUAUUGAACCGCAUGGUUCAAUAGUGAAAGACGGUUUUGCUGUUACUUAUAGAUGGAUCCGCGCCGCAUUAGCUAGUUGGUAAGGUAACGGCUUACCAAGGCAACGAUGCGUAGCCGACCUGAGAGGGUGAGCGGCCACACUGGAACUGAGACACGGUCCAGACUCCUACGGGAGGCAGCAGUAGGGAAUCUUCAGCAAAGGGCGAGAGCCUGACGGAGCAACGCCGCGUGAGUGAUGAAGGUCUUCGGAUCGUAAAACUCUGUUAUUAGGGAAGACCAAAUGUGUAAGUAACUAUGCACGUCUUGACGGUACCUAAUCAGAAAGCCACGGCUAACUACGUG
rnacentral:rRNA from 1 species